GAUGAACGCUGGCGGCAUGCCUAACACAUGCAAGUCGAACGAGACCUUCGGGUCUAGUGGCGCACGGGUGCGUAACGCGUGGGAAUCUGCCCUUUGCUUCGGAAUAACAGUUAGAAAUGACUGCUAAUACCGGAUGAUGUCUUCGGACCAAAGAUUUAUCGGCAAAAGGAUGACGCCCGCGUAGGAUUAGGUAGUUGGUGGGGUAAAGCCUACAAGCCGACGAUCCUUAGCUGGUCUGAGAGGAUGAUCAGCCACACUGGGACUGAGACACGGCCCAGACUCUACGGGAGCAGCAGUGGGGAAUAUU
rnacentral:rRNA from 1 species